rnacentral:rRNA from 1 species
GACGAACCGUGCGAACGUUGUUCGGAAUCACUGGGCUUAAAGGGCGCGUAGGCGGGCGACCAAGUCAGGGGUGAAAUCUUUCGGCUUAACCGGAAAACAGCUUCUGAUACUGGCCGUCUUGAGCGAGGUAGGGGCAUGUGGAACUUCCGGUGGAGCGGUGAAAUGCGUAGAUAUCGGAAGGAACGCCGGUGGCGAAAGCGGCGUGCUGGACCUCUUCUGACGCUGAGGCGCGAAAGCUAGGGGAGCAAACGGG